AGAUUGAACGCUGGCGGCAUGCCUAACACAUGCAAGUCGAACGGGAGUAGCAAUACUCUAGUGGCGGACGGGUGAGGAAUACGUAGGAAUUUGCCCUUAAGUGGGGGAUAACCCGGGGAAACCCGGAUUAAUACCGCAUGACCUCGAAAGAGCAAAGUGGGGGAUCGCAAGACCUCACGCUUUUGGAGAAGCCUACGUCGGAUUAGCUAGUUGGUGAGGUAAUGGCUCACCAAGGCGACGAUCCGUAACUGGUCUGAGAGGAUGAUCAGUCACACCGGAACUGAGACACGGUCCGGACUCCGUACGGGAGGCAGCAGUGGGAAUAUGGACAAUGGGCGCAAGCCUGAUCCAGCAAUGCCGCGUGUGUGAAGAAGGCCUUCGGUUGUAAGCGUACGUUUAAGGUUAGGGAAAGAAAAACGUCGACUACUAACACAGUAGAGUCGUUGACCGGUACCGACGAAGAAUAAGACGAACCGGACUAACGUCUGU
rnacentral:rRNA from 1 species